CAAAAACAUGUCUUUUUGAAAUUAAUUUAAAGUCUGNCCUNCCCACUGAAUUUUUAAAUGGCCGCAGUAUUUUAACUGUGCAAAGGUAGCAUAAUCAUUAGUCUUUUAAUUGAAGGCUGGUAUGAAUGGUUGGAUGAAAUAUUAACUGUCUCAAUUUAAUUAAAUAUAAAAUUUUAUUUUUUAGUCAAAAAGCUAAAAUGUAAUUAAAAGACGAGAAGACCCUAUAAAUCUUUAUAAUUAUAGGUAAAUAAAUAAAUAGAAUAUUUAAUUUAUUUAUUAUUUAAUUAUUUUAUUGGGGUGAUAUUAAAAUUUAAUAAACUUUUAAUAAAAAUAUUACAUAAAUUAAUGACUUAUUGAUCCAUAAAUUAUGAUUAAAAAAUUAAGUUACUUUAGGGAUAACAGCGUAAUUUUUUUAGAGAGUUCAUAUUGAUAAAAAAGAUUGCGACCUCGAUGUUGGAUUAAGAUAUAGAUUUAGGUGCAG
rnacentral:rRNA from 1 species